GGACCUUCGGGCCUUGCGCUAUCAGAUGAGCCUAGGUCGGAUUAGCUAGUUGGUGAGGUAAUGGCUCACCAAGGCGACGAUCCGUAACUGGUCUGAGAGGAUGAUCAGUCACACUGGAACUGAGACACGGUCCAGACUCCUACGGGAGGCAGCAGUGGGGAAUAUUGGACAAUGGGCGAAAGCCUGAUCCAGCCAGGCCGCGUGUGUGAAGAAGGUCUUCGGAUUGUAAAGCAAAGGAGUUGGGAGGAAGGGCAG
rnacentral:rRNA from 1 species